GUGGAGCUGCUGCGGUUAAGCAGCAGUUUACCCAGAUAAACUGUCCACAGUGAGGGGGAAUACAGACUGUAGCAGGAAUACAAGAGAGAGGGGUAAUUCACAAAGCUGAAUACAGAGGGAGAUUAAAGGAAAAGAGAGAUGAUCCUGGUUCAUAAAAUAGAGAAAUCAAAGAGGAUACUUCAAAGUGUAGAAGCAGUGGGCGGCAGACACCACCCACUGACUGGAGAUCAGCGCUCCUCCACAAAUGUGGGUGCCCUGCACCUGCAGACUGGCCUGCCACGGCCACUCCCCCUCUGAGGCGUCUCUGCCCCCAACGAUGCGGCUGGAGA